CCACACCCUAUGUUAAAUUACUAGUGCACUGCAUCAUAGCGUAUUUCGUAAAUAUUAUACUUGGCAUGAGAUGUAUUUAAUACAUGCAGCCGUUGCUCAAUGACAGCAACAAGGAUGGUCAAGAAAUAGAAACAAUAGUUUUCGAGGUUAGGUACUCUGACUUGCAGUGGUAAAUGGUGUAGCAUAUCUCACGGAACCUGUACAGGCAAUUCCCUUACCCAAAGCAGCCUCAAGCAGCUGACCAG
rnacentral:lncRNA from 1 species